rnacentral:piRNA from 1 species
CUUGGAACUCACUUUGAAGACCAGGC